UUUCGCGUUUCCGCUACUGCC
rnacentral:misc_RNA from 1 species